GAAAGAUAGGAAAAAAAGUCAUGUGUUCUGUAUACAUUCCUUGUUUGAAGUCACUUCUUCUACAACCACAGUUCGAACCUUGAAUCGACAAAUUUUCCGAGCCAGUGAUUGUAAUGGACCAGAAUGACCACGUGUUCUUGUUGAAUAAACCCUUUUAAAUCUAAUCACUCGUUUCUUUGUUGUUGUUGUUAAACCACAGUUCGAACCUUGAAUCGACAAAUUUUCCGAGCCAGUGAUUGUAAUGGACCAGAAUGACCACGUGUUCUUGUUGAAUAAACCCUUUUAAAUCUAAUCACUCGUUUCUUUGUUGUUGUUGUUGGAUAUGUUGCGCAAUUACAUUGAUCGGACAAUCCCUUUUCUGAAAUAUUAUUGGAGUUGAUGAGAUUGUAUGAUGUUGAAGUGGAUGGUGUAGGUUGCUGAAGAAGACCAAAGUUUGAUUCUGAGGCUCUUCCAUCACUUU
rnacentral:lncRNA from 1 species